GCCACGGCUAGGCCGGCCAGCCGAAAGCGGGAAACCUUCUCCCGUCGCCGUGGCUACCUCUGAAGGG
rnacentral:sRNA from 1 species